ACCAUCAAGAAGAGAGCAGCAUGCAGGUGAAAAAAGACGAGCUGCUGCAGUGUGUCUGGGGCUGCUGUGUCUUCUCCUCCUGGCUACAGUCAUCGGCCUGGUGGUACACUAUAACAAAUCAGAUUGCAACCUGUCCAGAGAGAGAGACGAGUUUCAGACCAGGUUCAACAACCUGACUGAAGAGA